UACGUAGGGGGCUAGCGUUGUCCGGAAUCAUUGGGCGUAAAGAGCUCGUAGGCGGCUUAGUAAGUCGGGUGUGAAAACUCUAGGCUCAACCUAGAGACGCCACCCGAUACUGCUAUAGCUAGAAUCCAGUAGGGGAGUGUGGAAUUCCCAGUGUAGCGGUGAAAUGCGCAGAUAUUGGGAGGAACACCAGCGGCGAAGGCGGCACUCUGGGCUGGUAUUGACGCUGAGGAGCGAAAGCGUGGGUAGCGAACAGG
rnacentral:rRNA from 1 species